GAUGAAGAACGUAGCGAAAUGCGAUAAGUAAUGUGAAUUGCAGAAUUUAGUGAAUCAUCGAAUCUUUGAACGCACAUUGCGCCCGCCAGUAUUCUGGCGGGCAUGCCUGUUCGAGCGUCAUUUCAACCCUCAGGCCCCGCCUGGCGUUGGGGAUCGGCGCGGCCCUCUCCGGGCUGCCGGCCCCGAAAACUAGUGGCGGUCUCGCUGUAGUCCUCCUCUGCGCAGUAGCAACGCUCGCACUGGAACUCGGCGCGGCCACGCCGUAAAACACCCCACUUCUGAAAGUUGACCUCGGAUCAGGUAGGAAUACCCGCUGAACUUAAGCAUAUCAAUAAGCGGAGGA
rnacentral:misc_RNA from 1 species